rnacentral:rRNA from 1 species
UACGUAGGGAGCAAGCGUUGUUCGGAUUUACUGGGCGUAAAGGGCGCGUAGGCGGCGCGGUAAGUCACUUGUGAAAUCUCUGAGCUUAACUCAGAACGGCCAAGUGGUACUGCAGUGCUAGAGUGCAGAAGGGGCAAUCGGAAUUCUUGGUGUAGCGGUGAAAUGCGUAGAUAUCAAGAGGAACACCUGAGGUGAAGACGGGUUGCUGGGCUGACACUGACGCUGAAGCGCGAAAGCCAGGGGAGCAAACGGG